AGGUGGAAUUGCUGGGGAGGGGGGAACUCCCAGACAGUUCGCGACAUCUGUGCCCAUGUGCGUGCAGAUUCUACCACGAUGGUGUUUCUCUGUGAGACUAGACAGUCAAAAGAAAAAAUGAAAAGUUUCAGAAACAGAUUUGGUCUUAGGGGCUUUGAAGGUGUGGACAUCCAAGGAAAUAGUGGAGGUCUAGCAUUGUACUGGCAUGAU
rnacentral:rRNA from 1 species